UACGUAGGGUGCGAGCGUUGUCCGGAAUUACUGGGCGUAAAGAGCUCGUAGGUGGUUUGUCGCGUUGUUCGUGAAAACCGGGGGCUUAACCCUCGGCGUGCGGGCGAUACGGGCAGACUUGAGUACUGCAGGGGAGACUGGAAUUCCUGGUGUAGCGGUGGAAUGCGCAGAUAUCAGGAGGAACACCGAUGGCGAAGGCAGGUCUCUGGGCCGCAACUGACGCUGAGGAGCGAAAGCAUGGGGGAGCGAACAGG
rnacentral:rRNA from 1 species